UACAGAGGGUGCGAGCGUUAAUCGGAAUUACUGGGCGUAAAGCGUGCGUAGACGGUUAUUUAAGUCGGGUGUGAAAGCCCCGGGCUCAACCUGGGAAUUGCAUUCGAGACUGAAUAGCUAGGGUACGGUAGAGGGAAGUGGAAUUUACGGUGUAGCAGUGAAAUGCGUAGAUAUCGUAAGGAAGACCAGUGGCGAAGGCGGAUCUCUGGACAGUUACUGACACUGAGGCACGAAGGCCAGGGGAGCAAACGGG
rnacentral:rRNA from 1 species